GAACGUAAGUCGAUUGUUGAAAUUUUGGAAAAGUGAACUCUUUCUCAUGAGUCUAAGUGAUCCUUGGGACCCUAAGACAUGUAAGAUUGCUGAAUAUAUUCUCCAAAUCAUUUGCAUAACCCAAUGAUGAGGGUAAGAUAUUAGAGAUCAAGAAAGUCGGUAGACAAUAACUAUGACAUUCCUCAUAAUUUAGGGUAGACAAGAAAGAUGGAACCUAAUAGUAAUGCAAUUGGAAUCUCCUGUAGUUUCACAUAUAGAAGUCAGAAAUGUCGUAGAGAGCUUAUCCCACCAAAUGACCACAACCCAGGCAAGUCCAAUUUAAUAUAUAUACUGAUUUUGUUCUGCAAGAGAACCCUAUAGAAAAGAAGUAUCCACCAAGUAAAUGCACCUCCUCAGGCUAUAAGAAUUUCCCCAACUCUUUCUGAAUAAAGUCAGCCAUAGACUUGAUGUAACCUUCUCAGUGAUACCAGGACCGACUGAUAGAAACAGGCAUCCUUGAUAGGCAAGAAAUUAGAGAAUAUAUAAAAACAUAAGCUGCAUCUAAAUAUUCUCUUCAAUACACGGAUGCUUGACCCAAUUGUAGAGAUAGAGAGUUGUGGAUAAAAUCCUCCCCUGAAACACCAUCUUCUCUGUUGAUGCAAGCAGCAACCUUGGAGCUAUAUCAGCAAGAGUGAGGGAAUUCAGUACCUAGAAUAAACGAGCAUAUGGCAUGUGUCUCCUCUGCAGAGUAGAAGCAUCUGCUUAAUUCUCUUAGUAUUUCUGAUUGUGGGUUUGUCUUCUUCUGCUUUCACUGCAGAUGAUGUCUUUGGAUCUCUUGCAGGCAGAAACCUUGGUCAAGCUAGGAAUUUUGUGUUUAGUACUUAUAAUGCGCAUGUGCAUUAAGAAAUAUUAUGUUGAUGUUAAAUAUGUUGCACAAUUAUUGUGCAGAUUGCCCUGUGGAUAGAGUUGGAUUUGAGCCAAGCCAAACUCAAGCUCGAACUUUGCUUGGUUACUGU